AUGUAUGAAAAAAGGAGAGGCGGUCAGCACUCCCCUUGAUAAGGAUGGAAGCGGUCCUAGAGGCCUUUACAACAUGCAUAUGGUUAAGGCAUUGCCACUUGCUUCGCGGCAUCUAACCAAGUUUUAUU